rnacentral:lncRNA from 1 species
GGGAUGGGCUAAGAAUAAUACCUGCCUCUGCAAAUCCAAAACUCUGUCCGUCAAUCUCAGAAUACAUCCCUCAAGCUCCUCAAUUCAUGCAGACUUAGCUGUAAGCAUCUGAAAGAUAGUAGAGAUAUGAAGGAUCAAGGUCUGGUCUGAAACAGCCUGAGAUGUCAUCCUCUGAGUAAAAUCUGAGGUGGCAAACUACUGAGAUAAGAUAGAGGCAAUCCGCUGGGACAUCAACUAAAUCUGAUCGUCUACAAGUCUGAACUCUGAAGGAUCUACUCUGC